GCAGCUGUAGCCCGAGUAGUUAAGGCGAAUGAACUCAGAAAUCCAUUGGGGUCUCCCCACGUAGGUUCGAAUCCUACCAGCUGCG